UACAGAGGCGGCAAGCGUUGUUCGGAAUUAUUGGGCGUAAAGAGCACGUAGGCGGCCGUGCAAGUCGGUUGUGAAAGCCUUCCGCUUAACGGAAGAACAGCAGCCGAUACUGCAUGGCUUGAGUGCGGGAGGGGAGAGUGGAACUUCUGGUGGAGCGGUGAAAUGCGUAGAUAUCAGAAGGAACGCCGGCGGCGAAAGCGGCUCUCUGGUCCGUAACUGACGCUGAGUGUGCGAAAGCUAGGGGAGCAAACGGG
rnacentral:rRNA from 1 species